AACGAACGCUGGCGGCAUGCCUAACACAUGCAAGUCGAACGAGACCUUCGGGUCUAGUGGCGCACGGGUGCGUAACGCGUGGGAACCUGCCCUUAGGUUCGGAAUAACUCCCCGAAAGGGGUGCUAAUACCGGAUAAUGUCUUCGGACCAAAGAUUUAUCACCUUUGGAUGGGCCCGCGUUGGAUUAGCUAGUUGGUAGGGUAAAAGCCUACCAAGGCGACGAUCCAUAGCUGGUCUGAGAGGAUGAUCAGCCACACUGGGACUGAGACACGGCCCAGACUCCUACGGGAGGCAGCAGUGGGGAAUAUUGGACAAUGGGCGAAAGCCUGAUCCAGCAAUGCCGCGUGAGUGAUGAAGGCCUUAGGGUUGUAAAGCUCUUUUACCCGGGAUGAUAGUGACAGUACCGGGAGAAUAAGCUCCGGCUAACUCCGUG
rnacentral:rRNA from 1 species